UACGGGGGGGGCAAGCGUUGUUCGGAAUUACUGGGCGUAAAGGGCUCGUAGGCGGCCAACUAAGUCAGACGUGAAAUCCCUCGGCUUAACCGGGGAACUGCAUCUGAUACUGGAUGGCUUGAGAUUGGGAGAGGGAUGCGGAAUUCCAGGUGUAGCGGUGAAAUGCGUAGAUAUCUGGAGGAACACCGGUGGCGAAGGCGGCAUCCUGGACCAAUACUGACACUGAGGAGCGAAAGCCAGGGGAGCAAACGGG
rnacentral:rRNA from 1 species